UAUAGUGGAGCUAGUAUCUACUACUUACAAAAAUGGUUGCGCCUAUAAGGCAUCAUUUUAUUAUGCGUAGUUGUGUAUCCUAAUAUAUCUCAUUCGUUGUAAACAUUAAAGUUAGAAAAAUGGUACAAAGGAAAAUAUCUGUGCGAAAUUGUGUACUUGGUUACGCCAGUAAUCACAUAUCCAUAGUAAUUAGAUAUAUUCAAAAAAAAGAAAAUCUUUUGGUUACUUACUGUGGAAACAAAUUUUUUAAUUAUGGAUGAGCACACUUUAACUUUCUCAGUGUGUUUUGAAUUUAUCCUAACAGUAUAUCUUGUUUAUCUGCGGAUACCUGUCGCAUUUAUGCAGCUGCAGAAAAUAUUGUAUAUGCAUGGAGAAAAGAUGUGUAUAGCCAGGAUCAAAAUACCAAGCUUAUUUGUAUUUCCAAGAGAACUCUCCAAGAGCUAUUCCUCUGUUUCCAUUUGAGAGUAUGCUACAACGUAAUCAGUUCUCAUAUAGUUGAACCGUGCUCUCAAAUAAUUACUUUUAUAUAGUGUCCACAAAUAAGAAAUACUCUCAACACCAAUUCCUGAUAGUUUUACUCUUAAAUGGACACAUGUCUUGAAGGAAUCACGAUCCAUUUAGAAGCUUGAAAAAUUUGUAAAAUUCGAAAUUUUUUUCUCAGAAACGAUUGGUAGAAAUGAGACGUAUUUUUUUUAUUUAAAGGUAUUGAGAGCUUUCAAAAAGAUUAUCCAAAAAUAUCAAAAAAUAUGGCUACCAUCAAACAGUGAAUUUUUGUUUGAAGAUAUUCGGAGAUGGACAUUCUUCAGCUAAACGAUGAAUUUGGAAUCAACAAAUGAAACGGUUCAAGGUAACACCAAAAACGAGUCGUUGAUCACGUUGGACUUUUAAAAUCGAUUAUUUUUUACAAGAUGAUGACGAAUUGAAACUCAAACAUGGAAAAUUUAUAAGAAAAAUCAUCAUUUCUACAUAAUUAUUAAAAAAUUGAGAUCGAUUUAAAAAAAAUAUAUCCAUUGGCUUGGAAAAAAGUAUUUUGAGAAAAGGCCGCUUUACUAAUUGAAUAAUCACUGAUUUUUGGAUAAAGUCUUAUAAAUUUUAUCAGGUUCUUGAUCAAAUUCGGAAUACAAGCUUGUUAUUGAUCUUAUGAAAUACCGAAUACGUAUUAUUAGUUAAUUAUUGAUUUUACAAAAUGCAAAAUACCGAAUUAUUACUUGGUUAUUGAUUUUACAGAUUUCAGAAUACGAACUUAUUACUUAAUUGCCAGCAUCAUAGAAUACUAUAUAUAGGCUUAUUACUUACUUAGUACCUACUUAGUACCUACUUAGUUACCGACUUUACAGAAAGACGAAUAAUGACCGACUUGAUUUUUCUUCUGAUUGACUCUUUCUAAUUUUCCCUCUCUUCAAAUGCAUUUAGCUGAUCAUCUAUGAAACUUGCAUCCUAUUGGAUAAUAAUUUUAUUACUAGGAUUUUGAUUGAUCUAUAUAUAAACAAAAGGUCUAUUGCAUCAAGAGAUGACGUCUGGCUGAUGCCAAGAUUCAAGGAAUUUCUAGAAGUGCAUGUUCAGAAAAAAAAAAAAUUGGAGAUUUAAACUGUUUAUGCCUCUGGAGCUGACAGUGAGCGCAUGAGUAGCCGAAUCCAAUUCAAUGUGAUAAUCAGCCAAUGACUGCAGUCUCAUCAACCAAUAGAAAUGAAGCUAUUGACGAGACGGUAAUUAUGAGGUAGCAUACGUUAUAUUUUUGUCUUCAUUUCUUUUUUAUAUUUGUUAUUCUACAAAAAAGAUAGACAGGAAGUGAAAGAGAGAAUGAGAAAGAAAGAAAGAGAGAGACAUUCAUGUCUUUAUUCAAUAAGGAACUACUAAGUAAAGACGAAAGAACUGUUUUUUUCUCAGUGAUAACACAGUUUCUUCGUACUUGAUUUUUUUUCUAUUUGUCUCCUUCGACAAAUAUAUCUUUAAAAAGUGAUACAAAGUGAUCUAAUGAUAAUGCAAGGAUAAAUAAAAAAAAAAUCUAAUUAUAUUUAAUCUCAUCGUCGUUCUUGUUCAAAGAGAAAAUAAAUCGUUUUCAAUUAGAUGAUCAAAUUAAUUAGAAUUUAUCACUGAUUUAUCUGAAUUUAUGUGGAAAAAUUCUCAAAAUUCAAAUAUCGUUCUGAUAACUAACUAACAAUUAGGUUAGAUAAUACAGUAUAUAGAUAAUACAAUUAGAUAUAAUGUAUUUAUAUUUGUACUUUUGGUUUUUUUAUAAAUCGAAUUAGACGUUUGUUCAAAGAGAUUAUUGCGAGUGUUGAUGUUUUCCUAAGAUCUAUUUUUUAUUCUCUUUCUUUUUUCAUUCUUUACUUUUGAAUUGUCCUGUUUGCAAAAGUAAAUUUUGAAAUAACUGUUAUAUCGUUUCUAACUUAGCUAUCUCUCUAGACAACAGUUCUUGCUAGUCGGAGUGGAGGAAUAAAAAGAGUCGGUAUAACACGAAAUUUAUACCAACGAACAAAGAUUCGAAAAGAGUAACAUAAUAUAGUUUCUUAAAUUAAAAUUUAAUUUUCUAAGAAAGAAAAAUUUUUGUCAAUUUGUUUGAUCAAAGAGAAUCGAAGAGGAUCGUAAUUGUUAAAAAUUGGUAGAAGAAUAUAUGGUAUCUAUGACUUAAAAGUAGCACUAUCAAUUUGGAGAAUAAUAGAUGGAAACGUAAAAAGGUGAUUCCAAAAGUACUACAGAAGAGUCAAGUGGCAGCAAAGUAUUACAAGAUUUUAACGAAUUUGGGUGGAUGAAUAUGAAUCAUACAUUAUAAUAAUCAAUAAUAUCAGCAUCCACUAUAGUGUUUGUCAGUUUCUCCAAACGCAAAAAAUUAUUUUUAACAAAUGAAUUAUUUUUAUAAAUAUUACAAUUAUGAAAUUGGUAUUGAAUUGGGUUGAGAGACACUUUUCUUCUUAAGCCUAGGUAAACUGUUUAACACAUCUCUUUCAAUGUAGAAAAUUGAAAAAUGAUGAUUCCAAAUGGUGAAAAAUCAUAGCAUGAGAUCAUUAUUUUUCGUUGUUUUUUAAGCUGGACCAAUGCUCAAAGAUAGUAACGUUUAUUGCAAUUUUGAAAAUUGCAAUCGUUUCUAAAAAGUUAUAAUAUUUUGGUAGCAACAACAAAAGAAAGAAGAAACUUUCUUUACUGAACUACUGAAAUAUCAUAAAUUAUUGUGUAUGUGAUAUUAAUUCGCUGGCAUCACAGUCCACAGAAUAAUCAGAGGCAGUUGGAACGGAUGCAACUAUAACGUGAACUCCAUUUUUUCAUUGGGAGGAGAAUUAUUUCUCCUUGAACAAAAAGCAUUUAUCUCUGACCUCGAUAAAGGUUGAUACAUAAAAACUUGGUUAUAUGAUAACUAUAAGAUAUAUAAAGGAUGGAAUAAAUAAUAGGUUUUUAUAUUUAGAUUUCUCUUUGAUAUUAAGUUAUUUAAUUAAAAUACUACAAAUAUAUCUAUUAUCAUAAUAAAAGUUAUAAGUUUGAAUACUACUUCUUAAAGAUGAUGAUAUACGGUAAUGUUUCAACGCAUUUCCAAUGGGAAAAUUUUAAGUUCGUAUGAGUGGCAGUGUAAUGUGAUUACUUAGCUAUCGAUUUAUCAGAAUUUGGGUACGAUCCUGGUACAGAUACGUGGAAAAGUUAUAAAUUCAAACAUGCUGCAUACAAUAUGCGAUUAUAUUGACUAAUUACGAAGGAUUUUGGUGGAUGGUAUUCGGAAAGAUAUUUAAAAUGAUAUAAUAAGUAAAUUAUUAUAAAAAUGAAACACUAAUACAAAUGUUUGUAUUUAGAAAAUUAUUUUGUAUAGACAAUUUUAAAAUAUGUUAUACACAACUGCAGUUGGUUGGGACAAUUUGGACAAAAAGUUAUUACUUUUUUUAUAUCAUUUUUUGCUUUUGAUUAGUCCACAAAGUUGUUUCUAUAAUACAUAUGCAGAUCUAAUGCUUACUCUAGAAGCAUUUUCUUUAACUCCAAUAUUGAUGCUGCUUAGAUGCAAAAGAAGGUUCUGUUAUGUUUGUAGGGAUCUGUAAUAACUCUUGAACUAAUGGUUUUCUGUAUUAUCUUAUUUUUAUAUUUUUUGCUGUUGUUAGAUUGUAAAUCAUAAAAACGUUUACCAUCAUAAUUCUAAGCAGAAAUUAUAUACCAUAUUUAUAGUACCAUUUCAUCUCUGUUUUAAUUGUGAUUAGAUACAAUACUAAUUGAUCCAAGCAAUCUAUUGUAGAUCUUCAUAGUUCAUGUAUAUUCGUAGACCUACGGAAAGUAUAAUCUCUCAGUAUUGAACCUAUUUGCAGAGAAGGUGAUAUCUAUAGAGUGAGAUUUCACUCCCAGAAGUGCGCUUUAAAUAAAUAUCUCUGUCAAACUGUGCUCAAGGCGUAACGGAACAAUUUUCAUUUUACCUGUGCAGUGCGCCUUAUAUUGUUAUCUGUCAUUAUCAUAUAACUGAUUCGUCUCAGUAGUUUCUGGAAAGGUUCUUAUAUUGUCUCAUCGAUGCUGACUAUGGUGAGACAUUGGAGUGGAUCCAUUUUGUUGAAUUCUUCGAAUAGUCUUGCGAUAAACUGCAGCUUUAUUCCUAUCGCGUUCAUUAUGAUUAGCAGAUUAUGUUGCAACACGUUCUUUUCAAUGAUGAUAUUCUACGUCAUGUCGAAGCUGGCUAACACAUGAAGAUCUAGCUCAAUCACAACAUCUUCAAACUGAAUAGUUUCGGUAACCGAUUGUUAUGUAAGUUCUCUAGAAGAACUGUCACAAUUUAUGAGAUACCUCACGGAUUGUUUUCAAUACAAUCUCGUCAAUAGUAUUGGAUAAAAUUUACUUAGUAAAUUAUUGCAUUUGUAUAUACGAUGGAAAUUAGCAAUGUUAAAAGAAGAAUAUGUUAUUUUUUUUAAACAAACAAUUUUAUUUUUCAAGUGAAUAAUACAAUUCGAAACAUGGUGUAAUACACCAUAAUAUGAUCAUUACAAUUUUUACAAAAAUAACUACUUUCCUUACGAACAUUUGACUUCUUACACAGUGCACAUCGUUUUGUUGGGUGGCAUUUUUUUUGUUGGAGGUAUUUUUAAAGGGAAAUAUCUAGAUUUCAUUCUAACCGGCAACUUUUUUUUGACUUGCUUCUUCUAUAGCGAGAAUUUUCUAUUGGUGUAUAAUACUUUUCUAAUAAUCCUGAUAUAAUGUCUUCUUUUAUUUCACGAAAAGUUUUUCUUUUUUUGUGAAAACAAAUGUUUGUAUACCAAAUUUUUCUCGUUUGAAAGGAAUGUAUUGUUUGAAUGACAGUUUAUCUUUCUAUAAUAUCAAGCUUUCAUCUACAACGAUGUAUCGACCUUGUCGUUAUGCAUUUUGGAAACGUAUCAAUAAAAUAUCAAUAAUGGAUUAUAUUUUAUAAGUUUUGUCAAUAACUUCUGGGUUUCUUCUACUAUUAUCUGAAUCGUUGAAAUGAAGGAAUCGUAGAAUUUAUAAAAACUGCUCUUGGCAUAUUUUUCCUUAGAAAUGGUAAGUUUUACAUUGGAUCUGUACUCUAGUACAUACAAUGAGUAUAAAAAGCAUUUGUACAGCAGUCAAUUUGAAUAAAAACUUAGUAGAACUUUGUUUAUUAUAAAAAAAUAUUAACAAAAAAUAUAUACAC